AUUGAACUGAAUAAAGACAAAAACACAGCUUUUUUGAUAUUUGCAUAGGCAGUAAAACCAGAUUAUGACAGAAAAUGUAGCAAACUGAAAGCUAAAUGUGAGCCUUGUCGGUGUGGUGCCUUUCAGGACACAUGGAUUUGUGAUGAGUGCCGUCUGGUUCAGUCCUAACUGAAAAUCAGUUUUUUACUUUUCUCAAUCACACAUUGGAUACUGCUGCUUCCAAUGCACUUCUAUUACAGGAUUUCAACUGUGAGGAAAAAUGGAAGAUGUGUGUAUAAAAAAGUAAAACAAAAAUCAAAACCAAACACAGAAUUGUUUCUUGAAUUGAACUUAGAAUAACAGUGCCUCUGACCUUACUAUUUCAGCCACUAUUGAGCUUUUCAUACUGUAUUUUUGAUCCAGGAACUUGGUGAUGUCUGAGUAUAUGGAGACAAUGAUUAUUAUUUUCUCACUGAUCUAUUUAAAACUAGGAUGGGAUAAGAAAGAGAGAGAAGAAAAAGAUGAAUCAUGAAGCAGAAGAAGGAAGAAGAAAAUCAUAGAUAGGAGGAAGUAAUGAGAAACAGAGGUCAGCUGAGGCACAAGGACAAUCAAAGACCAUAUUAAAAAAAUAAAAUAAAAAUCAGUUCCACUUAAAACCAAUGGCCUUUUCCUCCCUCUAAUAACCUGAAUGGAUCAACCACCCCUUCCUGCCUCACAUUCUCUGCACACAUAAACGUUUAAGAACCAUGUUAGAGCGCUUUCACCCCAGAAGUAGCUCUAACACAGUGGUACGCAAGAGGCUGGUGGUGGGGGGACUCGCCGAAUUCAAAAGGUCUAAAUUUGCACUAAUACAGUUAAAUACAUGUGUAUAUAGCACCCUCUGGUGUUCAGUAAAAAAUAUUGCAGUAAACUGACAGCCACCUGAUUGUUGAAGUGGCCUCCAGCAUUCACUGAGAGGCUCUUGCUGCAAAGAGAAUAACUGUCAGUCUGAAACAUGUUUUGGACACCACAGUAAAAAUGGUCAACUUUGUGAACUCCUGCUUAUUUGCUGCGUUGUGCAGUGAGAUGGGCAGCGAG
ensembl:lncRNA